rnacentral:lncRNA from 1 species
GGUUGGGAAGGGGGACUUUGUUGGAGGGAGGUUAGGGGCUUCAGAGCAGGGGGCGGAGGACCGCCGGGCAGGGCUGGAGCCACAGGACAAUUGUGCUGGUCGAAAGUGGGAGAAGACCCUUGCGGGAGGUAACCCCCCUGAAGUGUGGGCUGGGCCUGGUGACUUCCUUCUGCAAGUACUGCAUGAGGGGUGACCACACAGGGGCAGCCUGAUGACCCCUUGGCCCCUGGCCCAGGCCAGCGUCUCGGGGAGGAUUCGCCUGGGUGGGU